rnacentral:lncRNA from 1 species
CAAAUGGAAAUGCAUGAUGCUUCCUAAGGCCUAGGCUCAGACCUGGCAACUGUCAAUUCCACUUUCCUCAUCUUAUAAAAUUCUGGUUCUCAAUGACACCAGCAUCAUUACUGAUUUGCUUUCUACUCACACACAAAUAGCCUCCAAAUAAGAAUGCCAACACUAUCACCAAAAAGGAAAAAUUAUCUUCGUUUCCCCAAGGCCUGCAGCUUUCAUAAGAAGGCAGGAGUUUUUGGAGGAGAGCGUCGUGUUCGUCUGUCUGUAGACCCUGAGACACUGAUUUACAGCAAGACUCACGGUGACAAGAAUAUAAACAUCUCUUCAAUUCAUUUGAUGAGGAAGAAAAGCUUUGAUAAAGAAACUUGACAAGAACUUUACAAGGAAGAAAAAUUACCAACAAUUUCUCCUAUCAAUGUAGAUGAAAAAUUCUAAACAAAAUGUGAGCAAAUUGAAUUCCAUUUUAUGUAAAUAGGAUAAUACAUUAUGAUGAAAUCAAGUUUAUUUAACAAUGCAAGACUGGUUUGCUAUUCAAAAAUCAAUGAAAUAUGAAUACAUAUGUAGAGCAACUAAAUGUUAAGAAACUCCGGUUUCCAGUCCAACAUGUGAAGAGCUUGGAAAUCUUCAUAUUAAAAAAAAAACUGAACAA